UAGACAGUCUGAAGUAGUAGAAUAGGAGUUAUUUCAGAGAGCUGGUGUUAGCUGCGAACCAGUAUAACAAAUUUUUGAACUUGUCAGAUACAAACUGUCAACCGUUGUUGGUUUAAAGACUCAACUAAGAGAGUUCAAUUUAUUUGAGCUAAUUAGGGUGGUACCGCGAGUAUAUAAUAUCCUCGUCCCUAAA
rnacentral:ncRNA from 1 species